GGUUGUAUAGUGUAAUGGUUAGCACGUGAGAUUUUGAUUCUUGAGAUCCCGGUUCGAUCCCGGGUACGACCU
rnacentral:tRNA from 1 species